UACGGAGGAUCCAAGCGUUAUCCGGAAUCAUUGGGUUUAAAGGGUCCGUAGGCGGUUUGGUAAGUCAGUGGUGAAAGCCCAUCGCUCAACGGUGGAACGGCCAUUGAUACUGUUAAACUUGAAUUAUUAGGAAGUAACUAGAAUAUGUAGUGUAGCGGUGAAAUGCUUAGAGAUUACAUGGAAUACCAAUUGCGAAGGCAGGUUACUACUAAUGGAUUGACGCUGAUGGACGAAAGCGUGGGUAGCGAACAGGA
rnacentral:rRNA from 1 species